UACGUAGGGGGCGAGCGUUGUCCGGAAUCACUGGGCGUAAAGGGCGCGUAGGCGGUAAUAUAAGUCAGAUGUGAAAGGUGGGGGCUCAACCCCUAGAGUGCAACUGAUACUGUAUAACUUGAGUGUGAGAGAGGGAAGCGGAAUUCCUAGUGUAGCGGUGAAAUGCGUAGAUAUUAGGAGGAACACCAGCGGCGAAGGCGGCUUACUGGACCGUGACUGACGUUGAGGCUCGAAAGCGUGGGGAGCAAACAGG
rnacentral:rRNA from 1 species